rnacentral:lncRNA from 1 species
AACUAGAAGACAGCAGAAGUGGCAUGCAAGUCACAAUGUUAAAGUGAUUCUGAUCACCCUAUCAGGUAGUAUUUCAGAUAAUUAAAUAGAGCGCUGAGUAACAUGAAAGAUAAUACUCUUGGUUCAUUUUCGCACAGGUCUCUGUUGGAACUUAGAAAUUUUGUGUAAAUUGGGAAAAUUCCAACCUGGACCAUACUGAAGGAAGCAACAGCUGAGGCACAGGGGGUCAUACAGGCCAUUGUCCUGAGCUCCAGAAGACAGAACAGAAGGGAACAACAGAGAGAGGGCCUCGCUCAGGCUCCUGGAUGAAAACUGAAGCCCACUGGAAAAGUGAAGAGAAUCUCUGCAUAAAGGCACACCAGACCACCGUGCUUGCUCUUGAAUGAAAAGCCAGUAAGAGUUGAAGAUCAGUGCAGAACAGGAAACCAGGGUAGUGCUGUCCAGUCUGACUCCAGAGUCUAAGAGGUACACAAGUCUGAGAGGCCCAAACAUCUCAUCAGUAACUGGCCAAGGUGUUCUGGAGUGAAGAGAUGGAGCCAGGGGACCUUGAUGGGCAAGUUACUGCCGAACACAACCUCCUUGGAGAGUUGCCAGACCUGCCAAGGUUCUGUGCAUCCUGUCCCCAAGGCCCACGGCGCAGCUGUCCAGAGCACACUGGCCAGGGCACGCGCCCACCUGUGCCAAGGAAUCCCCAGGUGGAGAGAAUUCCUCCCAGGGAAGCCCUGCGGCUGGAGUGCACCUCAGCAUGACCUGCUGCCUUCAGGAGUCGUGCAGAUCCCGGGAAGGAGCAGGGAGCGCCCAGCGCCUCGGGCUUCCUCCCUGCAGCCCACCUUCCCGACAGGCAGUAGAGCGAUGGAAGAGCUUUCUAUGAACAACAAACCUGCAUGGUGCCCAAAUGCUCAGGACAGAUUUUAAAGUCUCUUCCAGUUCUAAAAGUCUAAAAUAAAUGUUCACAACAAAAGUCUCUUUGUGAACAGUGGUUGGAAAUGGGGC